GAUGAACGCUGGCGGCGUGCCUAAUACAUGCAAGUCGAGCGAACGGACGAGGAGCUUGCUUUUCUGAUGUUAGCGGCGGACGGGUGAGUAACACGUGUAUAACCUACCUAUAAGACUGGGAUAACUUCGGGAAACCGGAGCUAAUCCCGGAUAAUAUUUUGAACCGCAUGGUUCAAAAGUGAAAGACGGUCUUGCGGUCACGUAUAGAUGGAUCCGCGCUGCAUUAGCUAGUUGGUAAGGUAACGGCUUACCAAGGCAACGAUGCAUAGCCGACCUGAGAGGGUGAUCGGCCACACUGGAACUGAGACACGGUCCAGACUCCUACGGGACGCAGCAGUAGGGAAUCGUACGCAAUGGGGGAAAGCCUGACGGAGCAACGCCGAGUGAGUGAUGACGGUGUUCGGAUCGUAAAACUCUGUUAUUAGGGAAGAACAUAUGUGGAAGGAAAUGUGCACAUCUUGACGGUACCUAAUCAGAAAGCCACGGCUAACUACGUG
rnacentral:rRNA from 1 species